GGUGAAGUUGAACUCCCU
rnacentral:snRNA from 1 species